UCCCUGGCUCAGGACGAACGCUGGCGGCAUGCCUAAUACAUGCAAGUCGAGCGGAGUAAGAAUGGAAGCUUGCUUCCAUUCUUACUUAGCGGCGGACGGGUGAGUAACACGUAGGCAACCUGCCCUCAAGACUGGGAUAACUACCGGAAACGGUAGCUAAUACCGGAUAAUUUCUUUCCUCUCCUGAAGAGAGAAUGAAAGGCGGAGCAAUCUGCCACUUGGGGAUGGGCCUGCGGCGCAUUAGCUAGUUGGUGGGGUAACGGCUCACCAAGGCGACGAUGCGUAGCCGACCUGAGAGGGUGAACGGCCACACUGGGACUGAGACACGGCCCAGACUCCUACGGGAGGCAGCAGUAGGGAAUCUUCCGCAAUGGGCGAAAGCCUGACGGAGCAAUGCCGCGUGAGUGAUGAAGGUUUUCGGAUCGUAAAGCUCUGUUGCCAGGGAAGAACGUCCGGUAGAGUAACUGCUACCGGAGUGACGGUACCUGAGAAGAAAGCCCCG
rnacentral:rRNA from 1 species